rnacentral:rRNA from 1 species
GGACUGGAGUCUGCAACCCGACUCCAUGAAGCUGGAUUCGCUAGUAAUCGCGCAUCAGCCACGGCGCGGUGAAUACGUUCCCGGGCCUUGUACACACCGCCCGUCAAGCCAUGGAAGCCGGGGGUGCCUGAAGUGCGCUGCCGCAAGGAGCGUCCUAGGGUAAAACCGGUGACUGGGGCUAAGUCGUAACAAGGUAUC